UACGGAGGGUGCAAGCGUUGUUCGGAAUCACUGGGCGUAAAGCGCGUGUAGGCGGCCUGUUAAGUCACGUGUGAAAGCCCCCGGCUUAACCGGGGAAGGGCGCGUGAAACUAGCGGGCUAGAGUACGGAAGAGGGAGGUGGAAUUCCAGGUGUAGCGGUGAAAUGCGUAGAUAUCUGGAGGAACACCGGUGGCGAAGGCGGCCUCCUGGUCCGAUACUGACGCUGAUACGCGAAAGCGUGGGGAGCAAACAGG
rnacentral:rRNA from 1 species